rnacentral:rRNA from 1 species
CAGUCGCCGCGGUAAUACGAAGGGGGCAAGCGUUAUCCGGAAUUAUUGGGCGUAAAGGGUACGUAGGUGGCCUUUUAAGCGUAGGGUAUAAGGCAAUGGCUCAACCAUUGUUCGCCCUAUGAACUGGAAGGCUUGAGUGCAGGAGAGGAAAGCGGAAUUCCUAGUGUAGCGGUGGAAUGCAUAGAUAUUAGGAGGAACAUCAGCGGCGAAGGCGGCUUUCUGGACUGCAACUGACACUGAGGUACGAAAGCGUGGGGAGCAAACAGGAUUAGAGACCCGAGUAGUCCCUGUCUCUUAUACC